GACGAACGCUGGCGGCGUGCCUAAUACAUGCAAGUCGAACGCAGAAGUAGGAGCUUGCUCUUCUGGAUGAGUUGCGAACGGGGGAGUAACGCGUAGGUAACCUGCCUGGUAGCGGGGGAUAACUCUUGGAAACGAUAGCUAAUACAGCAUAAGAGUAGAUGUUGCAUGACAUUUGCUUAAAAAGUGCAAUUGCAUCACUACCAGUUGGACCUGCGUUGGAUUAGCUGGUUGGUGGGGAAAACGCUCACCAAGGCGACGAUUCAUAGGCGGCCUGAGAAGGGGGUCGGCCACCCUGGGACCGGGACAACGCCCAGGACCCCACGGGGAGGAAGAAGAGGGGAACCUCGGGAAUGGGCGGAAGGCCGGCCGGAGAACGCCGCGGGGAGGGAGAAGGUUUUCGGGUCGUAAAGCUCUGUUGUUAGGGAAGAACGAGAGGGGGAGUGAAAAGUGCACGCUGUGACGGUACCUUACCAGAAAGCGACGGCUAACUACGUG
rnacentral:rRNA from 1 species